AAUCAACGCUGGCGGCGUGCCUCAGACAUGCAAGUCGAACGCGAAAGUCCCCUUCGGGGGACAAGUAGAGUGGCGCACGGGUGAGUAACACGUAGGUAAUCUACCUUCGGAUGGGGAAUAACAACCGGAAACGGUUGCUAAUACCGCAUAAUGCAGCGGCACCUAAUGGUGAACAGUUGUUAAAGCGGGGGGAUCGAAAGACCCCGCGUCUGAAGAGGAGCCUGCGGCGGAUUAGCUAGUUGGAAGGUAAUGGCUUACCAAGGCGAC
rnacentral:rRNA from 1 species